GCGCCCGUAGCUCAGUUGGAUAGAGUACUUGGCUUCGAACCAAGGGGUCGGGAGUUCGAAUCUCUCCGGGCGCACCA
rnacentral:tRNA from 1 species